AUGAAACUUGCGAUGCGAUUUGGCAAGAGCUCCAUGAGAUUUACCUAGCUCAACCAAAGUAGACAGAAUGGAAAAACAUUGCUGACAGGUUUUAUGUAAAAACUGGAAUGCCGCAUUGCCUCGGAGCUGUAGAUGGCAAACAUAUCAAAGUAAUUUGCCCUAAAUCUAGUGGUUCCCUCUAUAACUUCAAGAAAACGUUUAGUAUCGUCCUCAUGGCAAUAUGCGAUCAGAACUAUUCAUUUGUGUUCGUUGACGUUGGUGCGUUGGGAAGCCAAAGCGAUGGAGGAAUUUUCCCCGCAGCGCCUUUGGCAGGAUGAUUCUACGAAACAACCUUGAAAUUGCCCCAGAUGAUAACCUUCCCGGUACGGACAAAAUAUUUCCAUACAUUUUUGUCGGGGACAACGCGUUUCCUCUUAGACGCAAUCUUAUGCGUCCAUACCCAGGUCGGAACUUGUCAACCGGCAAGCUUUAUUUUAAUAAAAAGUUAUCAUCUGCCCGGGUGCAUAUCGAAAACACCUUUGGAAUUUUGGCAAACAGGUGGAGAUUCCUUCACACCACUAUAAAUGCAGCCCCAGUAAAUGUGGACAAAAUAGUGUUAGCCACAGUAGUUCUGCACAAUUAUUUGAUGCUUCACAGGAAUGGGGGCUACUUCGAACCGAGCUUAGUGGAUCGCGAGGAAAAUGGAGACAAUCUUCGACGGAUAUGAGAUCCAUACGAACUUCUCAUUCCAACCGUUCCACAAUGGAAGCAUUUACCUUGAGAGAGGAACUAACUGAUUAUUUACUGGAUUACAAUGGUGCUUAAGUUU